rnacentral:rRNA from 2 species
CAGAUGAGAAGCUUGCUUCUCUGAUGUUAGCGGCGGACGGGUGAGUAACACGUGGGUAACCUACCUAUAAGACUGGGAUAACUCCGGGAAACCGGGGCUAAUACCGGAUAAUAUUUUGAACCGCAUGGUUCAAUAGUGAAAGACGGUUUCGGCUGUCACUUAUAGAUGGACCCGCGCCGUAUUAGCUAGUUGGUAAGGUAACGGCUUACCAAGGCGACGAUACGUAGCCGACCUGAGAGGGUGAUCGGCCACACUGGAACUGAGACACGGUCCAGACUCCUACGGGAGGCAGCAGUAGGGAAUCUUCCGCAAUGGGCGAAAGCCUGACGGAGCAACGCCGCGUGAGUGAUGAAGGUCUUCGGAUCGUAAAACUCUGUUGUUAGGGAAGAACAAAUUUGUUAGUAACUGAACAAGUCUUGACGGUACCUAACCAGAAAGCCACGGCUAACUACGUGCCAGCAGCCGCGGUAAUACGUAGGUGGCAAGCGUUAUCCGGAAUUAUUGGGCGUAAAGCGCGCGUAGGCGGUUUCUUAAGUCUGAUGUGAAAGCCCACGGCUCAACCGUGGAGGGUCAUUGGAAACUGGGAAACUUGAGUGCAGAAGAGGAGAGUGGAAUUCCAUGUGUAGCGGUGAAAUGCGCAGAGAUAUGGAGGAACACCAGUGGCGAAGGCGGCUCUCUGGUCUGUAACUGACGCUGAUGUGCGAAAGCGUGGGGAUCAAACAGGAUUAGAUACCCUGGUAGUCCACGCCGUAAACGAUGAGUGCUAAGUGUUAGGGGGUUUCCGCCCCUUAGUGCUGCAGCUAACGCAUUAAGCACUCCGCCUGGGGAGUACGACCGCAAGGUUGAAACUCAAAGGAAUUGACGGGGACCCGCACAAGCGGUGGAGCAUGUGGUUUAAUUCGAAGCAACGCGAAGAACCUUACCAAAUCUUGACAUCCUUUGACCGCUCUAGAGAUAGAGUCUUCCCCUUCGGGGGACAAAGUGACAGGUGGUGCAUGGUUGUCGUCAGCUCGUGUCGUGAGAUGUUGGGUUAAGUCCCGCAACGAGCGCAACCCUUAAGCUUAGUUGCCAUCAUUAAGUUGGGCACUCUAGGUUGACUGCCGGUGACAAACCGGAGGAAGGUGGGGAUGACGUCAAAUCAUCAUGCCCCUUAUGAUUUGGGCUACACACGUGCUACAAUGGAUAAUACAAAGGGCAGCGAAUCCGCGAGGCCAAGCAAAUCCCAUAAAAUUAUUCUCAGUUCGGAUUGUAGUCUGCAACUCGACUACAUGAAGCUGGAAUCGCUAGUAAUCGUAGAUCAGCAUGCUACGGUGAAUACGUUCCCGGGUCUUGUACACACCGCCCGUCACACCACGAGAGUUUGUAACACCCGAAGCCGGUGGAGUAACC